rnacentral:rRNA from 1 species
UACAGAGGGUGCGAGCGUUGUCCGGAAUCACUGGGCGUAAAGGGCGCGUAGGCGGUCUCUUAAGCGUGUGGUGAAAGCCCGGGGCUCAACUCCGGGUCGGCCGUGCGAACUGGGGGACUGGAGCUUGUCAGAGGCAGGCGGAAUUCCGGGUGUAGCGGUGGAAUGCGUGGAGAUCCGGAAGAACACCGGUGGCGAAGGCGGCCUGCUGGGACAGUGCUGACGCUGAGGCGCGACAGCGUGGGGAGCAAACAGG